rnacentral:rRNA from 1 species
AUGGGGGGGGCGGCGUACACAUGCAAGUCGAGCGCCCCGCAAGGGGAGCGGCAGACGGGUGAGUAACGCGUGGGAAUCUACCCAUCUCUACGGAACAACUCCGGGAAACUGGAGCUAUACCGUAUACGUCCUUUUGGAGAAAGAUUUAUCGGAGAUGGAUGAGCCCGCGUUGGAUUAGCUAGUUGGUGGGGUAAUGGCCUACCAAGGCGACGAUCCAUACUGGUC